GCGAGUGGCGAACGGGUGAGUAAUAUAUCGGAACGUGCCCUGGAGUGGGGGAUAACGCAGCGAAAGUUGCGCUAAUACCGCAUACGAUCUAAGGAUGAAAGCGGGGGAUUCGCAAGAACCUCGUGCUCCUGGAGCGGCCGAUAUCUGAUUAGCUAGUUGGUGGGGUAAAGGCCUACCAAGGCAUCGAUCAGUAGCUGGUCUGAGAGGACGACCAGCCACACUGGAACUGAGACACGGUCCAGACUCCUACGGGAGGCAGCAGUGGGGAAUUUUGGACAAUGGGCGCAAGCCUGAUCCAGCAAUGCCGCGUGAGUGAAGAAGGCCUUCGGGUUGUAAAGCUCUUUUGUCAGGGAAGAAACGGGAGUUGCUAAUAUCGAUUCCUAAUGACGGUACCUGAAGAAUAAGCACCGGCUAACUACGUGCCAGCAGCCGCGGUAAUACGUAGGGUGCAAGCGUUAAUCGGAAUUACUGGGCGUAAAGCGUGCGCAGGCGGUUUUGUAAGUCUGUCGUGAAAUCCCCGGGCUCAACCUGGGAAUUGCGAUGGAGACUGCAAGGCUAGAAUCUGGCAGAGGGGGGUAGAAUUCCACGUGUAGCAGUGAAAUGCGUAGAGAUGUGGAGGAACACCGAUGGCGAAGGCAGCCCCCUGGGUCAAGAUUGACGCUCAUGCACGAAAGCGUGGGGAGCAAACAGGAUUAGAUACCCUGGUAGUCCACGCCCUAAACGAUGUCUACUAGUUGUCGGGUUUUAAUUAACUUGGUAACGCAGCUAACGCGUGAAGUAGACCGCCUGGGGAGUACGGUCGCAAGAUUAAAACUCAAAGGAAUUGACGGGGACCCGCACAAGCGGUGGAUGAUGUGGAUUAAUUCGAUGCAACGCGAAAAAACCUUACCUACCCUUGACAUGUACGGAA
rnacentral:rRNA from 1 species